AAACCCUUACAACACGUGUAGCCAAUCAUUGCAACUCUUAAUAUAUCUCUACAAAACAGGCAUUAGAAACAAGAAAUGCCCUCCUUCCUCGCCCCCUCCCUCGCCUUCCCAGCCCUCCCCUCCUAGAUCGUUGCCUCACUUGACACAAUGCAUAAGAUUACCCUUAACUGGAUCCUAUUAAAUAAUUCAAUGGUGGCGGUGUAAUUUUGGUUGGAAACUGCACGGAUUUCCAAGUCGUGACUGUAAAAGUGAGUAAUGUGCUCUGGCUGCGUCAUGGCUCCAGUCACAGAUGGUUCCAAACUGAGGAGAAAUCGUGACUUCGACUUGAGACGUCCCCUCUCCAUGAAAAGACCAUCCAAUCACAACGGCGUCGGGGGGCAGCCGGACUCCGCGGAGCUCGCUUUCUCCUUGCUCUCCCGUCCGUGUGUGUGCGUGUGUGUGCCCGUGUGUGUGUGUCCGUGUGCCCGUGCCUGCGCGCGUGUGUGUAUAAAAUCCUCAACAAGUUGCAGAAGGGGUAGGGAGAGGAGGGGUUAAUCCCGGGGAAUCUUCUGCACCUAGUGAGAUCGUGACCCUCCCACACAGUACAGUAACUUAUAUACACACCUGGAGGAAGGGACGCUUUGCUUUUGGGCUUUCCAAAAAAAAAACAAAAACCACCAAAAAACACCAAAACACUGUUGGUGAUGGUUGCACCCUGCGCGGGACUCCCCGGAGCGGCCAGGGACGCGCCCCGCCAGGUGCGGACGCGCCGUCGAGGCCAGAGGCGCCGUGGGAGCAGCGAGGGCCGCAGGCAGGGAUCCUGGCACAGCCCCUGUUCUGGACAGAAGGACAGACGUCCGAGGGAAACGAACAUAACUUCUCAGCUUGGCCACCUUCCAUGUGAUGGAGCAAUGUAGCUGACUUGUGGGUUGACUUAGGCUUGCAUCACCAUCCUGACCAGGUUGCAUCUGCAGUCAUCUGGAACUGACUACAUGCCUGAACUGAUAAAAAAUGCUGUGGAAAUAUGAAUCUCUGGGGCCUUUGCAAGAUGCUUGUGCCAUAUCCUGUCUCUUUAUUGCCUGGUCCUCUGGAGGACAAAAGAGUGAGAAUCAGCAGUGUGUCAUUUAUCCUCCAAACAGUUUGAGAACUGUUUUGACAGCCAGUGGAAGAAAAUAGUGUGAUGUGGUCACAGCAAGCAUGUGUUCUUUCUAACAAUUUACAAUUGCACUAUGAUCCCAUUGAGAGUGAUACUCGAACCUCCCUCUGAUUACCUGUUCUUUUCUCUUGCUGUAACAACAUUGUUUCUUUCCAACACAGGAGCAUUUAUGUAGAAAUGCCAAGAUUCUCCACACAGAUUACAGUAGGUUUACAAAUUAAGGAAAAACUGGUAUGGAACAAGAGGAAAGAAUCCCAGCAUUUUGCACUUACCUGCAAUCAAAAUCCUGUCUUUGGAGGGUGUUAUGUCAAAUAUACACUCGGUGAGGCCUAUGAGGAUUUUCCUUGUGUAAUGGCAAGUGUUAGCCCUAGCAUAUCACACUAUUCUAAAAAUAGCGUCCAGUAAACAACAGGUGGCCUCUCUUGGAAAAAAAUCAGGAAAAAAGUUGGUGAGACCUGGAUCCUCUGCAGUGUCACUUUCACAAUUGAGUGACUGACAAAUAAAAGCAAAGAAAAAAACCCAGUGGGCUAAAUCACCAUGAGGAUGGAUUCCCCCUGUUGUGGAAUUGAACAAAAUCCAGCAACGUUCCCUUCUAUUAGGUCUGAUGUAAGUGCUGUAUGAUAAAGAGUAAUUUCUAAAAGUCAGCUGUAAACCUAGAGGUCAGCCAAUAAGACAGGGACUUGACACAUUUUUCAUUGUGAAGUGUAUGAUAGUUUCAUGCCUUUAAUCAACGUCACUGCAGACUGUAUAUUGUUGAAUCCAAUGGAAUUGGAAUCCUGCUAUGAAUUUAAUUGUUUUCCACAUGUAGAACAGAAGCCUUUGAUUUCUGUUAGUUAUGUAUCUGCGUGAAAAGCUAUUUUGUGUGUAUAUAUAUUUAAUAACAGGAAAUGUAACAAAUAUUUAUUUUUAUUAAACUAAUAAAAGGGAUAAACCUA